rnacentral:rRNA from 1 species
AUACGGAGGGUGCAAGCGUUAUUCGGAAUCACUGGGCGUAAAGGACGCGUAGGCGGGUUGGCAAGUCAGAUGUGAAAUCCUACAGCUUAACUGUAGAACUGCAUUUGAAACUGCUAACCUAGAGUAUGGGAGGGGGAGAUGGAAUUAGUGGUGUAGGGGUAAAAUCCGUAGAUAUCUCUAGGAAUACCGAAAGCGAAGGCGAUCGCCUGGAACAUAACUGACGCUAAGACGUGAAAGCGUGGGGAGCAAACAGGAUUAGAAACCCUAGUAGUCC